UUUUAAUAUCUCAUAUAUAUUCAUAUAAUAAUAUAUAUUUCUCUCUCGUGUGUGCUUCCUGCGCGUUUCAUGAAGACUUUCGGUUAGAUAGGUCUUUCGAUUUCUGCGAGAAAAGAAGGUACAACUCGUUUUGUGCAUUUUGUUCCGUACGAAAUAUUUUUUUUGUUUUACAGUAUUCUCCGUUUUUUUUUUCGUUUUUUUUUUCCUUUCUUGUUAUAUCGCUUCAAGCCCCGCCGCACGCGGGACGUGUGUGCAGUUGUGACGUGUCGCACAUUAUUUUGCUUCCUAGUAGCCCUUAAAUCUUCGGGAUAAAGUGUAAAAUGCCCGGAGUGUCCUUCGAGGACGCGGCCGGGUCAACCAAUGUCUCUUUACCCAUACGUGACCGAUCUCGAGAUUCUCGAGAUGAGAACGUGAGAGGGAAGAUAUCGAAAUUAUUUCCGUAGAACCUCUGUACGAUGUCGAUUUCGUAUUUAUUCUCACGAAAUUAUUUCCUUGCCGGAAAAUAUAAAUUAUGUACAUACUUCGAUUCGACCCGUUCUUCCUCGAUUAUUUUUUUUUCUCAUUCACCGUUGUAAAUAUAUACUCUUCUGCCAAUUUUCCCUCCCUGCUUUAUCGCCGAGAGCUAUCGCCCGAUUGUACCAGUUUGAUACUCAAACGAUCAAUAUUGUUUGCCACGAAAUUCGACGCCCGACAGGAGUCCUCGAGUUACACUUCGAUGACGAAGAAUGAAAGGGCGCUCGGUGUGGUCCGCGAUCCUUCUCGUGCGGCGACGGCUUUACACGGACUCUUAAUAUUCAUUUCAUGCAACAUUUAUCGUGGCGCGAUCGCGGUUCGCCGGGGAAAAGUCGCGGGCUCCGAACAACUUCGUGA